rfam:Triticum aestivum genome assembly, contig: Triticum_aestivum_CS42_TGACv1_scaffold_249218_3DL
AAUGUACUCCCUUCGUCCGGAAAUACUUGUCGAAGAAAUGGAUGUAUCUAGACGUAUUAUAGUUCUAGAUACAUCCAGUUUUAUCUAUUUCUGUGACAAGUAAUUCCGCACGGAAGGAGUACUUU